rnacentral:rRNA from 1 species
GACGUAGGGCGCGAGCGUUGUCCGGAUUUAUUGGGCGUAAAGAGCUCGUAGGCGGCUUGUUGCGUCGACCGUGAAAACCCGUGGCUUAACUGCGGGCUUGCGGUCGAUACGGGCGGGCUGGAGUUCGGUAGGGGAGACUGGAAUUCCUGGUGUAGCGGUGAAAUGCGCAGAUAUCAGGAGGAACACCGGUGGCGAAGGCGGGUCUCUGGGCCGAUACUGACGCUGAGGAGCGAAAGCGUGGGGAGCGAACAGG